GAAUGCUGACAUAAGUAACGAUAAAGCGGGUGAAAAGCCCGCUCGCCGGAAGACCAAGGGUUCCUGUCCAACGUUAAUCGGGGCAGGGUGAGUCGACCCCUAAGGCGAGGCCGAAAGGCGUAGUCGAUGGGAAACGGGUUAAUAUUCCCGUACUUGGUGUUACUGCGAAGGGGGGACGGAGAAGGCUAUGUUGGCCGGGCGACGGUAGUCCCGGUUUAAGCGUGUAGGCUGGUUUUCCAGGCAAAUCCGGAAAAUCAAGGCUGAGGCGUGAUGACGAGGCACCACGGUGCUGAAGCAACAAAUGCCCUGCUUCCAGGAAAAGC
rnacentral:rRNA from 1 species